rnacentral:rRNA from 1 species
AUUGAACGCUGGCGGCAGGCCUAACACAUGCAAGUCGAGCGGAUGAAGGGAGCUUGCUCCUGGAUUCAGCGGCGGACGGGUGAGUAAUGCCUAUGAAUCUGCCUGGUAGUGGGGGAUAACGUCCGGAAACGGGCGCUAAUACCGCAUACGUCCUGAGGGAGAAAGUGGGGGAUCUUCGGACCUCACGCUAUCAGAUGAGCCUAGGUCGGAUUAGCUAGUUGGUUGGGUAAAGGCCUACCAAGGCGACGAUCCGUAACUGGUCUGAGAGGAUGAUAAGUCACACUGGAACUGAGACACGGUCCAGACUCCUACGGGAGGCAGCAGUGGGGAAUAUUAGACAAUGGGCGAAAGCCUGAUCCAGCCAUGCCGCGUGUGUGAAGAAGGUCUUCGGAUUGUAAAGCACUUUAAGUUGGGAGGAAGGGCAGUAAGUUAAUACCUUGCUGUUUUGACGUUACCAACAGAAUAAGCACCGGCUAACUUCGUG